UACGGAGGGUGCAAACGUUGCUCGGAUUUAUUGGGUUUAAAGGGUGCGUAGGCGGCCCUGUAAGUCAGUGGUGAAAGCCUCCAGCUCAACUGGAGAACUGCCAUUGAUACUGCAGGGCUUGAGUACAGACGAGGUUGGCGGAAUUGAUAGUGUAGCGGUGAAAUGCAUAGAUACUAUCAAGAACUCCGAUUGCGUAGGCAGCUAACUAGGCUGUAACUGACGCUGAGGCACGAAAGCGUGGGGAGCGAACAGG
rnacentral:rRNA from 1 species